UGGGGUGUGGCCAAGUGGUAAGGCAUCGGUUUUUGGUAUCGUGUAUCGGAGGUUCGAAUCCUCCCACCCCAGCCA
rnacentral:tRNA from 1 species